GCUGCGUUUAGCACAUAAAUUACUUUGUACAGUCUUAGUAUUCUCACUCUUUCAUUAUAUUCAGUUGUGUAUCGUAUAAUAAACCGUUGUUACAUUUAUAUAAUAAGAAUCAGCAUACAGUCAGUGUUAUUUAGUGCCUGUCACACAAUCCUUUCUCCUGUGCCGGCUUCAACGGAAACGUUUUCGAUCGAUACGAAUUGAAACUCCGCUUCGGAAAAAAUCAAUCAUCGAAAAUCAAGCAAUAUGUUUUUAUAUUAAAGAUAUGUGUCGGAGGACAGACGAAAAAGAUAAUUGCUCCGUUCACAUCGUAAUAACUAAGUGUUUUUGUUGUAAACGUAAAACAGCUAUUAAUAUGAAGAUGUAAUCACUUAUAAUUGUCAAUAACUAAACCAAAAAUUUUGUCAAUUUCCAUUAAAGUUGAUUACAUACAGAAAACUCAACAGUUAUACAACGAUUGAAAGAUGAUCAAUUGUGAUAGAAUUAUUUUUAAAAACCUGCUAGGGUCCCAAAAGUAUGACGAUAUGAUCAAAUCCACAUAUUCAACCUGUCUCGUAGAAGCAAAAUGUAGAAUGUGUCAAAAUACAAGUCAAUGUUAUUAUUAUAACUUUACGACAAUUCGGAAACUUUACCAGAUAUGCGAGAACAACUUCUUAAUAGCAAAGAAGCUGCAGAACACGAAAAACAAUUUUAUAAACAAAAUUGAAUUAUCAAAAUCGAAUUGUCAAAAACAGAUCAUGAAAGACAACAAAGACAAUUUGGAUAGUUUGAUUGCAAAUAUAAAACAGUUUCUAUACAAGCAUGCUGUUAGUACUGCUAUUAUGCACUCAAAAAAUUUGAAUAGCGUGUCGAUAACUUGAGAACUCUAUAUCCUUGGCGCGACAACAAUGAAUGUACAUAUAUAGCAGUAUGUGAUAGAUAAUUGUAAAAUAAAGUAUAUAUAUGAG